GGAAUUUGAAAAGUGUCCUAAAUGCAGAGGAAAACAAUUAUAGCAAUUGUACUGUUGAUGUACUUCCGAAAUGUGUUUCAUGACUACCAGGGAAUGGAAGCAUGCGGAGAAUCGCACCUAUUUCCACGGGUCCGAGAAACUGUAUAAAAGCACUCACAACCCCCUUGCUCCUCACACCACUCCUCUUGGUUUAGCCUCCUCGGUGAACUUGGUUUACCUCCCUCCACCACCCCCAAGAUGUCCUGCUACUACGUGUGCUGCUCCCCCUGCUACAGGUCUGUCAGUACCUCCUACCGGGCCUACAGGUGCUGCAGCCCCUGCUACAGCUACUGCUGCAGCCCUUGCUACAGCUACUGCUGCAGUCCCUGCUACAGCUCCUGCUACAGCCCCUGCAGCUACCGGAGCUGCUGCACCCGCUACUACUACCCAUCCUGCUGUAACUACAGCUAUGGGUGCUGCUAGACCUGAUAAACCCAGUGGGAACCCACAGUGAGGAUCUACCCCGACCCGGCAAGCACAGACCGAUGGAUCAUCUCAGAGGCGACGUUUUCAGGAGUGCUGAGCCCCUGCAGCUGCAGCUGAAGCUACCAAGAAUGGAGAGCUUGGCUGCUCUCUAGAAUUUCUCAGCAUUUCUAUUUUUUGUUAUACUUUCUGUCUCCUUCUUCCAGUGUUUCUCAGCUACAAGCUUACUCUAGAUAGUCUCCCGCAUUUAGACCGCUUUGGCAGCAAUAAGAAUGAUCUGCAGUUCAUUUGAAGCUUCUUCCAGUCACCGCAGCAACGUUAAAGAACUCCUGCAUCAGUGAAAAUUAGCUCUUGUGUCAUCUGCAUUUUCAAUAACUACUUCCAGUAAGGUGCUGCAGUACUGCGUAAUGGAGAAACAUGACGGCUGUGCCUCCUUUGAUCUGGAUUUACAAGUACCUUAAGAACGAGCAACACAGCUUUCACAAAAAGGAAUGUUCUGUAUAGCAUAGUGUAGUGACUCAUCUACUCUAGCUCUUUUCAGCAUGCCAAAACUAUGAUCUUUCUGUAUCUGUGUCACCUUCUUUUCUUAUUGCAUUAAAAUUUUUCUGUAUAAAAAAAAAAAAUCAAAGUUCCAGUCUUCUUUUGCCUGUCCCUUGAUUACAUGAAUAGACAUUCAUGAGAUUCAAUAGAGCAGUGACAUUCUGAGGGGGGGGAGGGGUCCUGCCUCUUGUGCAGAGCACUUUAUAUCCCUUCAUGUUCAUUGAAGUUGGCCCAAGUAAAUGAGCUGUUUUCCUCUCUCUACCCCUCAGAAAUCUGAGAAAUCCCACAAAUUUCUCCCUUUCCCUUAAUAAUUUAAACUAUUACAGAUGUAAGGUUAAAAUAUUUCAGCAUAAUAAGGCUGUGAUGGUCUUUAUUAUAAUGUUUUAAAAUAGAAGAGUUAGUCCCAGACCUCUGUAGAGUAUACAUAAAAGAAAGUUCAAGUGAGUAUAAUACUCCUAUUCCCACAAACCAUAUUCAAAUAUUCUUUCAGAAUCACAAUUUCCAAUCAGAUUACCAUCUAACAGACAAAUUGCUGCAGCAGCCAGUGGAACUUUAUAUAUCUAUAAAUAAAUCUUAUAUUAAAUUCA
rnacentral:lncRNA from 1 species